UGCGUAGGCGGGUCUUUAAGUCAGGGGUGAAAUCCUGGAGCUCAACUCCAGAACUGCCUUUGAUACUGAGGAUCUUGAGUUCGGGAGAGGUGAGUGGAACUGCGAGUGUAGAGGUGAAAUUCGUAGAUAUUCGCAAGAACACCAGUGGCGAAGGCGGCUCACUGGCCCGAUACUGACGCUGAGGCACGAAAGCGUGGGGGGCAAACAGGAUUAGAUACCCUGGUAGUCCACGCCGUAAACGAUGAAUGCCAGCCGUUAGUGGGUUUACUCACUAGUGGCGCAGCUAACGCUUUAAGCAUUCCGCCUGGGGAGUACGGUCGCAAGAUUAAA
rnacentral:rRNA from 1 species